GCCUCGGUAGCUAGGUGGUCAGCGCGUCGAGCUAGCAACCCAGGGCUCACGGGUUCGAAUCUCCGCCUCGGAGGUC
rnacentral:tRNA from 1 species